AAAAUGGCUUUAUUAUACAAUGGUGUGACUGGGAGUUUCUGAAGAAGCAGUUUGAUACAGUUGACUAUGUCAUCAGAAGAGAUCAGAUAAGGAGCUCGUAUGAUACCAUAAGAAAAAAGUUGAUUUUCGAUGACGACGGACAACACACACUGCCCAUGCCAAGACCGCUGUACAGGCCUAAAAUCGUCAGACACAAAGAUUAGUAAGAUGAAUGCAUGGAGUGGAACUGUAUAGCACCCGGGACGCCCCCAAUCCAACAUGGCUUAUUUGCUCCACUGACUGCAACCGGAUCUCCUCAAUCGUCCUCAUCAUCAUCAUCAUCAUCACAUAUGUCCCUCGAAAGCUUCCUGGCGCCGCCACAUAUGUCCCCUCCUUUACCGCCCUCUCUUUUGAUCAGGUCACCUAUACCAUCCCCCAACCCCCCAGGUCAUCUGUUCUUCCCCCAAUCGUCUGAUGUUUUACAACUGACAGGUGGUCAUGUUUGUUCAGACAUUGUGGGGGAUGAUCAAGCGGAUGGAUUGGUGACAACAUUGUUUAUAGACAGUGUUAAAACAGCGUCUCUACAUCUGCUCAACGUAGUACUUUACCGAUAUUGGGGGGAGAUCUGCCAGGGUUGUCAGAUCAAUCAUCCAAGUCAGAAGCAGCACGAGUGUUUGGGCAGUAUCCCAGAGGGGUUCUAUGUAAGACAUUUUGAACAACUUAUGAAAAGACUGUUGACGGAUAAAUUUGUCCCAGUCGUUCAACGCUUUCUGGCAAUGAAACAUCUCUGUGCUGAUGGUGCAAGAAUCCGUGCGGUAGCCGAAACUGUUUUGAACGAGUUGAAAACAGUGGAAGAUGUCACAGUCAAAAUACGAGAAAUGUAUGAUGCUAUGAUUGGUGAGGACGUCAUCAAAGUGGCCGAAAUUCGAGAAAUUGGAGACUACUGGAGAGAUUUAUAUGAGAGAAAAAACUGUGUGUGAAUAUGGGUAAUUGUUUACGUGUAAUGUAUAACCAUAACACUGAGAGAUAUGUGAUAGAUCGUUUAUCCUGUAUUUUAGAACAAGCCAUUGCAGGCAAAGUGAAUGGUGUUAAAAAGUAUCAAAGUAUGCGCAGUGCGUAUAGCAUUGACGUGUGUAGGCUAGAAAAACUGAUGGGUCUUGUUAGAAGACAUUAUAGCAAACCACGUUGGGAUGAUUUGUUGCAAAUGUUGUUAUCAAUGCUACUAGCUCGUGAGAAUGUUGUGGAGACAUUCUGUGCAGUCAUAACUAAUAUCACCCAUGAUUUCAAGAAGUUGAAUGUAUGUCAUGUACUGGUUACGUACACGAUGCUUAUAGAUGUGUUGAGUCUGUAUGUGAAUGAAAAACAAUGUAUUGAUGUCUUACAGGCUUUGC